ACCAGGUGUGGUGGUGCACGCUUGUAAUCUCAGUGGCUCAGGAGGCUGAAGCAGGAGGAUCAUGAGUUCAAAGCCAGCCUCUGCAAUGGCGAGGCACUGAACAACUCAAUGAGACCCUGUCUCUA
rnacentral:sRNA from 1 species